rnacentral:rRNA from 1 species
UAGGGAAUCUUCCGCAAUGGACGCAAGUCUGACGGAGCAACGCCGCGUGAGUGAAGAAGGAUUUCGGUUCGUAAAACUCUGUUGUUAGAGAAGAACAGCGCAUAGAGUAACUGUUAUGCGUGUGACGGUAUCUAACCAGAAAGCCACGGCUAACUACGUGCCAGCAGCCGCGGUAACACGUAGGUGGCAAGCGUUGUCCGGAUUUAUUGGGCGUAAAGCGAGCGCAGGCGGUCAAUUAAGUCUGAUGUGAAAGCCCCCGGCUCAACCGGGGAGGGUCAUUGGAAACUGGUUGACUUGAGUGCAGAAGAGGGGGGUGGAAUUCCAUGUGUGACGGUGAAAUGCGUAGAUAUAUGGAGGAACACCAGUGGCGAAGGCGACUCUCUGGGCUGUAACUGACGCUGAGGCUCGAAAGCGUGGGUAGCAAACAGG